GCUAACAUAGCAUAGAUCAAGUGUCCCCUAGAGUUCCUCUGAGCACUUCAUUGGGAAUCUUCGAUUAAAUGAAAGAGUAUUAUCAUUCCUACUGAAGUGUUUGGGGGAACUCCUGGUGUCAUUUGAUGUUAAUAUUUCAUUAUGAAAAGCUCAGAAAGCAAGAAAUCUGGCUUCAUGUUACUACGAGAACUUAAGCAAGUAGAACUUGUACACUGAAACCCCACAAAAUGGUGCACAGGUUAGAGUUAACUCUUUCCAUUGUAUGUCUCAGAACAACAUCACUGGAGCAUUAAUGAAUUUGGAUUAAAUGCUUCCAACAGAGCUUAAAAGAACCUGAGCUCAGCCCAAGGAAAUCAACAAAAAGCUGAAAUCAAAUGCUCACUACAGGUCCUGAUUUCAGUUUCAAAUUCAAACGUAAAAUAACUUGUAUCCAGACCAAAUUACUAGUCAAGCCACGUAUCAUUAAAAGAUGUGAGUGUCGAGUUUCCAACGCAUCAAAUUGUGAGAGAUUCGGAUCUUCCUACCAAGAUUGUGGCCAUUUUAGUGACAAGUGUGCAGGCUGCUGAAAUGAGAACUCAGCAGAACCAAAACCCUUCUGCCAGCGUUUCUGCAACCAGCAAGACUGCCCUCUUUGUCAAGAAACAUCAUAGCAGCUUUGACAUAUUUUACUCUAAAUCACUUUCACAUGUAAAGCCUUUACAAGUCAAUAUUUGACAAGAUUUUUAAGAAUAUCUUCACUUUGCUAA